UCUCCCCUGGGAGCCAAGUAGAAGAAAGAAACCACUGCUGUUUAUUUUCUUUCCAUCCGUCAAUCCCUGGAGCCAACCGCUUCGCAAACAAGGGAAAAGGCACCCAGAGGCCUUGAAGUCAUCCAUCAGCAGACAGCUUUCAACAAAAACUUUAUUAGCACCACCUUCGCCACAGUAGGGCAUGGUUGUCACUAAUGGCCCCCACAGGCAUUGCUGAAGGUGGCUCUGCUGGGACUCUCAGGCAGUGGUCCUCACUCUAGAUCAAAACUCUC
rnacentral:lncRNA from 1 species